rnacentral:rRNA from 1 species
UACAGAGGUCUCAAGCGUUGUUCGGAUUCAUUGGGCGUAAAAGGGGUGCGUAGGCGGCGCGGUAAGUCGGGUGUGAAAUCUUGGAGCUUAACUCCGAAACUGCAUUCGAUACUGCCGUGCUUGAGGACUGGAGAGGAGACUGGAAUUUACGGUGUAGCGGUGAAAUGCGUAGAUAUCGUAAGGAAGACCAGUGGCGAAGGCGGGUCUCUGGACAGUUCCUGACGCUGAAGCACGAAGGCCCAGGGGGAGCAAAACGGG